rnacentral:rRNA from 1 species
UACAGAGGGUGCAAGCGUUGUUCGGAAUUAUUGGGCGUAAAGCGCGUGUAGGCGGCCUGGCAAGUCGGGUGUGAAAGCCCUCAGCUCAACUGAGGAAGUGCGCCCGAAACUGCUGGGCUCGAGUGCCGGAGAGGGUGGCGGAAUUCCCCAAGUAGAGGUGAAAUUCGUAGAGAUGGGGGAGGAACACCGGUGGCGAAGGCGGCCACCUGGACGGUCACUGACGCUGAGACGCGAAAGCGUGGGUAGCAAACAGG